rnacentral:rRNA from 1 species
GGAAUAUUGCACAAUGGGCGAAAGCCUGAUGCAGCGACGCCGCGUGAAGGAUGAAGUAUUUCGGUAUGUAAACUUCUAUCAGCAGGGAAGAAAAUGACGGUACCUGACUAAGAAGCCCCGGCUAACUACGUGCCAGCAGCCGCGGUAAUACGUAGGGGGCAAGCGUUAUCCGGAUUUACUGGGUGUAAAGGGAGCGUAGGCGGUCUGCCAAGGCUGAUGUGAAAACCCGGGGCUCAACCCCGGGAGUGCAUUGGAAACUGGCGGACUGGAGUGUCGGAGAGGUAAGCGGAAUUCCUAGUGUAGCGGUGAAAUGCGUAGAUAUUAGGAGGAACACCAGUGGCGAAGGCGGCUUACUGGACGAUAACUGACGCUGAGGCUCGAAAGCGUGGGGAGCAAAC